CCUACGGGGGGCUGCAGUGGGGAAUAUUGGACAAUGGGGGGAACCCUGAUCCAGCCAUGCCGCGUGUGUGAAGAAGGCCCUCGGGUUGUAAAGCACUUUCAGUGAGGAAGAACGCCUGGUGGUUAAUACCCAUCAGGAAAGACAUCACUCACAGAAGAAGCACCGGCUAACUCCGAGCCAGCAGCCGCGGUAAUACGGAGGGUGCGAGCGUUAAUCGGAAUUACUGGGCGUAAAGCGCGCGUAGGUGGCUUGAUAAGCCGGUUGUGAAAGCCCCGGGCUCAACCUGGGAACGGCAUCCGGAACUGUCAAGCUAGAGUGCAGGAGAGGAAGGUAGAAUUCCCGGUGUAGCGGUGAAAUGCGUAGAGAUCGGGAGGAAUACCAGUGGCGAAGGCGGCCUUCUGGACUGACACUGACACUGAGGUGCGAAAGCGUGGGUAGCAAACAGGAUUAGAUACCCCAGUAGUC
rnacentral:rRNA from 1 species